CUCAGGGUUGGGGUUCCUCAGCCCGGAUUGUGAGAUGGUGCAGGCCAGGCUCAGGGACCCCACCAGUGUACA
rfam:Myotis brandtii contig182294, whole genome shotgun sequence.